GCCAGAAUGAAGGUUUACAUGUGCCUGCUUCUCCUGAUGGUCGUUGGAUGUGCCUUGUGUUUUGCAGAGAACUUUCUUGCCGAGAAGUUGAUGCAAGAACUGGAAUCUCGCGGGAUACUGACCUUCAAGAUUUCUUGCACAACUGAUGCCGAAUGUGAUCCAAUGUAUUGUUCUAAACCUCCCGGUCACGAUCAGGGCUUUUGCUGGUGGGUGGGAAAAGGACGCUAGGAAUUCUGACAAUCAACAUGAAUGAAUUAAACCAUGAUCGUCAGUGGUUAACCGACAGCAAGGCUUUAUUCUGAUUCAAUAAAAAGAUUUGACAUUAAUUCAUUUUUCUUCUUUCCUGGUAAGAUUGUCUCAUUUUUGUUAACAAUACUGGGUCCGUGUUCCAGCCAGUUUUUUUCCAUUGAUUCCGUGACAGUGCUGUUCACGUCUGAAGUCUGCUCAAUGUGAAUUUAAAGAGUGAUACUGAAAUCAAAAUGAAACAAAAAAUAUCUUUAUUCGAUCCGUCAAUACAGACAUAUAUUAACCGAUCGGCACAUUUGAAUUGUUUACAGAACUUAUAAAAGUCUACACUCUUCUCGUCAUUUAAAUGACACAAAUUAUGAGCUCGAGCACGGACUUAAUAAUUAUUUUCAUGUGAUGUGUUUUAAAAAAAAUCUAUGUUCGUUAUCUUAGUUUGUUCAUGUCUGUAAUGUUUUUGUUCUUUUGGGGUGCGUGGUUGUCAUUAUCUGUGAUGAUAGGUAAAAUCCACUUUUAAAAUAUCCAUGAAUAUUAAUCCUGCAUGUAUCGUUGAAGCAGCGCUUGGAUAUGGGAACAUUUUAUGCAUCCUAGGAUAUUUUGUUUGUGUGUAAAGGCUGCUCACUCUGAAUUUAAAGAGCACUUUUGAUAUCAAAAUGAAACGAAAAUAUAUAUAAUCGAUCCGUGAAUACCGACAUAUAUUAAACGAUCGGCACAUUUGAUUUU
rnacentral:lncRNA from 1 species